rnacentral:rRNA from 1 species
GAUGAACGCUGGCGGCGUGCCUAAUACAUGCAAGUCGAGCGAACAGAUAAGGAGCUUGCUCCUUUGAAGUUAGCGGCGGACGGGUGAGUAACACGUGGGUAACCUACCUAUAAGACUGGGAUAACUUCGGGAAACCGGAGCUAAUACCGGAUAACAUUUAGAACCGCAUGGUUCUAAAGUGAAAGAUGGUUUUGCUAUCACUUAUAGAUGGACCCGCGCCGUAUUAGCUAGUUGGUAAGGUAACGGCUUACCAAGGCGACGAUACGUAGCCGACCUGAGGGGGUGAUCGGCCACACUGGAACUGAGACACGGUCCAGACUCCUACGGGAGGCAGCAGUAGGGAAUCUUCCGCAAUGGGCGAAAGCCUGACGGAGCAACGCCGCGUGAGUGAUGAAGGGUUUCGGCUCGUAAAACUCUGUUAUUAGGGAAGAACAAAUGUGUGAGUAACUGUGCACAUCUUGACGGUACCUAAUCAGAAAGCCACGGCUAACUACGU